rnacentral:ncRNA from 1 species
UUGGUGCUCGCGCAUCUUUCUGAUGUGCGGUUAAACGGGAAACACGAAGCUUUAUCAAAGCCAACGUGUGCUGCCCCCGCAACGGUAAGCAGGUGUCCUUUAUGGACGCGUCGUCCCCAAUACCACUGUGCAAAAGCAUGGGAAGGUAGACGACAGUUUCAGGCGUUGCCUGAAGAACCUGUAGCCCGGAUACCGGCCAAGCGCG